GCGUCUCCAUUGAUCGACCCGAUGGCAAC
rnacentral:sRNA from 1 species